rnacentral:tRNA from 1 species
CGAGGAGUGUCUAAAACACAAAGAACUGCUAAUUCCGAGCCCUGAGGUUAAAAUCCGCAGACUCCU